rnacentral:rRNA from 1 species
UACGUAUGGAGCAAGCGUUAUCCGGAUUUACUGGGUGUAAAGGGAGUGUAGGUGGCCAUGCAAGUCAGAAGUGAAAAUCCGGGGCUCAACCCCGGAACUGCUUUUGAAACUGUGAGGCUGGAGUGCAGGAGGGGUGAGUGGAAUUCCUAGUGUAGCGGUGAAAUGCGUAGAUAUUAGGAGGAACACCAGUGGCGAAGGCGGCUCACUGGACUGUAACUGACACUGAGGCUCGAAAGUGUGGGGAGCAAACAGG